rnacentral:rRNA from 1 species
UACGUAGGUGACAAGCGUUGUCCGGAUUUACUGGGCGUAAAGAGCGCGCAGGCGGUCGAUCAAGUCGAGUGUGAAAGCCCCCGGCUCAACUGGGGAGGGUCAUUCGAUACUGAUCGACUCGAAGGCAGGAGAGGGUAGUGGAAUUCCCGGUGUAGUGGUGAAAUGCGCAGAUAUCGGGAGGAACACCAGUGGCGAAGGCGACUACCUGGCCUGUUCUUGACGCUGAGGCGCGAAAGCUAGGGGAGCAAACGGG